AGAUGGGUCCCAAGCAAUGAAAGCUCAUGAACCUCGUCAGAUUCGGAAGAAAGCAGCGAUAAGUGAUCACUUUUGUGUGACUUGGGUUCGCCUAUAAGGAG
rnacentral:SRP_RNA from 3 species